rnacentral:rRNA from 1 species
GUAGGUGGCAAGCGUUGUCCGGAAUUAUUGGGGCGUAAAGCGCGCGCAGGCGGUUCGUUUAAGUCUGAUGUGAAAGCCCACGGGCUCAACCGUGGAGGGUCAUUGGAAACUGGAGAACUUGAGUACAGAAGAGGAAAGCGGAAUUCCACGUGUAGCGGUGAAAUGCGUAGAGAUGUGGAGGAACACCAGUGGCGAAGGCGGCUUUCUGGUCUGUAACUGACGCUGAGGCGCGAAAGCGUGGGGAGCAAACAGGAUUAGAUACCCUGGUAGUCCACGCCGUAAACGAUGAGUGCUAAGUGUUAGGGGGUUUCCGCCCCUUGGUGCUGCAGCUAACGCAUUAAGCACUCCGCCUGGGGAGUACGGCCGCAAAGGCUG